rnacentral:lncRNA from 12 species
ACAAACAAUUGGUUGUAUAUGGCAUAUGCAACUAAUAAACACAUGGUAUACAAGGGGAAAUGUUUGCCAGUCCCCCCCAAGUUGUGUAUCAAACUCUUCAAGAUUUUUUUGAGCCAGGGGGAACUGUGGUGGCUUGCAGCCUGACCCGACAAGGCAGCUUUCCACAGUCUCAGGAAGGACCACGGCUCUUGGCCACAGGAAGCUGCAAGCCCAAGAUGAGACAAGAAGGCUGAGUGCAAGUUGUCCUUCUCUUAGAAGCUUCCUGGGAAUUUCAGUAAGAGCUUUUUUAAAAAGAUUUUAUUUAUUUAUUCACAAGAGACACAGAGAGAAAGAGAGAGAGGCAGAGACACAGGAAGAGGGAGAAGCAGGCUCCAUGCAGGGAGCCUGACGUGGGACUCCAUCCCGGGUCUCCAGGAUCACGCCCUGGGCCAAAGGCAGCGCUAAACCGCUGAGCCACCGGGGGUUCCCAAGAGCUUUUUUCAUG